rnacentral:rRNA from 1 species
GACGAACGCUGGCGGCGUGCUUAACACAUGCAAGUUGAGCGGAAAGGCCACUUCGGUGGUACUCGAGCGGCGAACGGGUGAGUAACACGUGAGUAAUCUGCCCCUGGCUUUGGGAUAGCCACCGGAAACGGUGAUUAAUACCGGAUACGACCACUUCUCGCAUGGGAUGGUGGUGGAAAGUUUUUUCGGCCAGGGAUGUGCCCGCGGCCUAUCAGCUUGAUGGUGAGGUAAUGGCUCACCAUGGCUUCGACGGGUAGCCGGCCUGAGAGGGUGACCGGUCACACUGGGACUGAGACACGGCCCAGACUCCUACGGGAGGCAGCAGUGGGGAAUAUUGGACAAUGGGCGGAAGCCUGAUCCAGCAACGCCGCGUGAGGGAUGACGGCCUUCGGGUUGUAAACCUCUUUCAGCAGGGACGAAGCGCAAGUGACGGUACCUGCAGAAGAAGCACCGGCCAACUACGUGCCAGCAGCCGCGGUAA